CAGUGGAAGAAAGCAACAACAUGACUAAGGGAGGAGAGAAAAACAUUGGCUAGCGCAGUGCGAGAGAGGCCAUUAUCUGACUCACACUGGGCACGUACUAUGGAAUGGAGGAAAGCGCAGAGCUGAACGAGGGGAGCGGGUGGACGAGGGCUAGCGGCAGACGCAGCGGAGAAGCGGGCAGAGACAGAGAGAGAGGCAGAAAGAGACGACCUCGACAUCAGUCUAUGCUUUUUUUUGUGAAACCCUUCAACAGAGAAGAUGAAACACAGAGCAGAAGUUAGCUGCUCUUUGAUAUUUUCGAAGUAUGUUCUAUUUUUUUCCUCCUCUCUCUCCUUUGGCUCAACAACAUGGAGGCUGCAGCUGUUCUGCUGACUUCACUCGCAGCCUCUCCUACUCUCUCCAAGCUCCUCACCACGUUCACAGCUGCAAUCCGCUAAAAAUAAUAACACAGUAAAGAAGGCUUUUAUGCAAUCGAGGCGGCGGCUCAAGCCUGAUACCCCCUCAUUUCGCCAUGUCGAUAUAUAUUCAUGUGUUUAUUGUCACAUUCCCUUCCCUUCCCUUCGUACGGGGCGCUUCUCAGCCCGCACGGCAAAACGCUUUACUCACAAAUGCCGCCGCUUAUUUCGUCACAUAAUAAGAAAUCUCUGUCCGUUUUCGUCUCCAACCGCAUGCGCCUUUGCUUCGCUUGGCGUAAGCACGGUAAAGGGGCAUUUUGUUAUAAAUUUACAAAAAAAGGUGUCAACGCAGCGCAGGAGGGAAAAGCAGCGCUGAUGCUGACACACGGCUGCAGCGUCUCUACGUUAGGCAGCAUAUUCGGUCUGAGGGAUCACACGCACGCUGGGCGAAGAGGUGGUAUCCUACGGAAAAGGGAUGUGUGUGUAUGCGGACGGUCCGAAGACAGAUACGGAAAACCCGGGACCCGGGUAGAGCGUGGAAAAGAAAGCAAAGGAAAGAGACAGAGAGAGAGAGAAACAGAGAAGGGGAACGUUUGAGGAACCAAAGGACCCAAAAAUGGUUAACAAGUCUGGUUCGUCCUCGGCGCGAGCGGAGGAGCAGAACAGGCUAGAGGAUGGAAGGAUGAGGGACUCCGGAGGAGAGAAGAGCAGGAGCCACUGAGAAAGACAGGACUGAAACGAAAACAACCUCCAGCCUAUCCUGCCCUUUAAAUCUUCCUUCCUGCUUAGUGCUAGGCUCCAGCUCCAGCUCCAGCUCCAACUAGUGCCUGCCCAUGGUCCGCUUAAGCCCAGUUUUCUCCUCGCUCUCUCGUCUUUCAUCUCUUUUUCGCUCUGUCUCUCUCACCCUGUCCUUCCAUCGCUAGCUGCCGGCUGGGUUUGUUUUUCGGACUCUGGAGCAGUGCAGCUCGCUUUUUUACCGCCCGGCGCAUUGCGGACUCGAAUGAUCUCACUAUCUCGCUCCUGUUCUUUCUCCUGAUGCUGUCUCGCUCUAUCGUUCCUGCUUUUCCUUGACACUCUCUUGCUCUUUCGCCCUUUCGCUCUUUUCCCUGAUGCUCUCUCGCUCUUUCUCUCCUUCCUCUUUCCUGAAGCUCUCUCGCUCUUUCCCUCUCUGCGGUGCCGGGUUUGGAGAAGCGGAGCGAGUGAGUGUGUCUCGCUCUUUCGCUCUCCAGUCCUGUCACUCGGGGUUGGCACAGUCAACGCUGGCAUGAGUACAGCAGAGGCAAGGCAACACCAAACACACGCAGGCGGAAGCCUGGGCAGGGAGGCAAAACUGCUCAGUCACUGGUGGCGGGCAAGUGGCUGAAGAGCGAGGGAGUCCAAGGAAAUGAAGGGGAGAGAGAGAGAGAGAGAGAGAGAGAGAGAUUGAGUGAGAGGGAGGUUAUGACAUCACUGUUACGUCAUCAGAUCUGCACCACCCCCCUCUACCCAAAGUGGGUGCAAGUGGAGUGGGCAGAUGUGUCAUACCACACAACACAAAGGUGUCCACCCAACACACACACACACACACACACACACACACAAACACACACAAACUCUCAUUCACCCUCCUGCCUCACUCUCUCUCUUGCUCAAUCCCUUCACGAGUGACACAGCACUUCUCGUACAUAGCUCUGCAUUCGCUUCCCGCUGCUAACAGCUAAGGCUUCCGCCAGCCGAGAGGAAGGAGGAGGACGCUCGAUAACCGAAAGGAAAGAUCCAACACGAAAAUCUGGAAAGAGAUUUCAUCUCAUAUCAUCAAUAAAAAAUACAGCGUUGUCA